rnacentral:rRNA from 1 species
AGAGUUUGAUCAUGGCUCAGAACGAACGCUGGCGGCGUGCCUAACACAUGCAAGUCGAGCGAGAAAGUCCCGGCAACGGGAUGAGUAAAGCGGCAAACGGGUGAGUAACGCGUGGGUAAUCUACCCUACGGAUCGGGAUAACCUGCCGAAAGGUGGACUAAUACCGGAUGAUGUUCUCGCGGUGAUUCCGUGGGAACCAAAGGGGGCGAGCGUAAGCAGCUCUCACCGAAGGAGGAGCCUGCGUCCGAUUAGCUAGUUGGUGGGGUAAUGGCCUACCAAGGCGACGAUCGGUAGCCGGCCUGAGAGGGCGAUCGGCCACACUGGAACUGAGACACGGUCCAGACUCCUACGGGAGGCAGCAGUGGGGAAUAUUGCGCAAUGGGCGAAAGCCUGACGCAGCGACGCCGCGUGGGUGAUGAAGGCCUUCGGGUCGUAAAGCCCUGUCUGGUGGAACGAAACGCCUGGCGGCCAAUACCUGCCGGGUUUGACGGUACCACCGAAGGAAGCCCCGGCUAACUACGUGCCAGCAGCCGCGGUAAGACGUAGGGGGCGAGCGUUGUUCGGAUUUACUGGGCGUAAAGCGCGCGUAGGCGGCCAGAUAAGUCGGGUGUGAAAGCCCUCGGCUCAACCGAGGUUCCGCAUCCGAUACUGCUUGGCUGGAGUCUAGGAGAGGAGAGCGGAAUUCCCAGUGUAGCGGUGAAAUGCGUAGAUAUUGGGAAGAACACCCGUGGCGAAGGCGGCUCUCUGGACUAGUACUGACGCUGAGGCGCGAAAGCUAGGGGAGCGAACGGGAUUAGAUACCCCGGUAGUCCUAGCCGUAAACGAUGGGCACUAGGUGUGGGAGGUAUUGACCCCUUCCGCGCCGAAGCUAACGCAUUAAGUGCCCCGCCUGGGGAGUACGGCCGCAAGGCUAAAACUCAAAGGAAUUGACGGGGGCCCGCACAAGCGGUGGAGCAUGUGGUUCAAUUCGACGCAACGCGAAGAACCUUACCAGGGCUUGACAUCCCACGAACCUGCCCGAAAGGGCGGGGUGCCCGCAAGGGAGCGUGGAGA